GCGAGCCAGUGGGCGGGUCACUCGAAAGAGAGGAAACUCCUCCCUCACUGCAGGCACCCGAAUUAGCGAUAAUUAGCCGGAGACGGCUGGCGACGGAACAGACAAGAGAUCCAGUCAGGGCGCACACGGUGAUGGCGAAUAGCCUGAGGUUCCUGAUACUGGAAUGAAACUGCCGACCCGGGUGGAGCAAGGCCAAACAGAGCCCAAGUCCCUGCAACAGCUCAGGUUGGCUGCUCAGCGGAAUCCCGCUUAGAACAGAAGGAGGGUUACUGCUGGCACGC
rnacentral:RNase_P_RNA from 2 species